GACGAACGCUGGCGGCGUGCUUAACACAUGCAAGUCGAACGGAAAGGCCCUGCUUUUGUGGGGUGCUCGAGUGGCGAACGGGUGAGUAACACGUGAGUAACCUGUCCUUGACUUUGGGAUAACUUCAGGAAACUGGGGCUAAUACCGGAUAGGUGCUCCUGCUGCAUGGUGGGGGUUGGAAAGUUUGGGCGGUUGGGGAUGGACUCGCGGCUUAUCAGCUUGUUGGUGGGGUAGUGGCUUACCAAGGUUUUGACGGGUAGCCGGCCUGAGAGGGUGAACGGCCACAUUGGGACUGAGGUACGGCCCAGACUCCUACGGGAGGCAGCAGUGGGGAAUAUUGCACAAUGGGCGGAAGCCUGAUGCAGCAACCCCGCGUGCGGGAUGACGGCCUUCUGGUUGUAAACCGCUUUCGCCUGUGACGAAGCGUGAGUGACGGUAAUGGGUAAAGAAGCACCGGCUAACUACGUG
rnacentral:rRNA from 1 species